UGGUGGAGCUUCGUUUCUUCGAGGCCUGAUGCCCUGAUGGAUAGAGAUUCCAGCUCACCUUAAAGGCCACAUGACAUAGUCAUGGGGUUUCAUGGCCUGAUCAUAAAAUUUCACUCGAAUAUCAGAUCAGAUGGAUUGGGGUUGCUGUUUUUCAUCAAGCCUAUGCACAUGACAUCAUCAAAUUUGUCUGGGAUUUUAGAAGUUUCUAUUGAUGCUAUAGUAAGGAAGGAGUGGUAGAAUGUUGAUUACCAGUGGUAAUUUAGACUUUUUACGUGCAUAUGGUGUGGGGGCCACUCGUCCUUACCUGUAGAGAGACGCAAGCACUCGGCUUUCAAUCUACUCUUCUCCAGAGAGUUCACGUGAGGGAGAAGAAAGGAGAGGGAGACACGAAGAGCUCCACCAAGGCACCAACGAAGCUGCCAUC
rnacentral:lncRNA from 1 species